UCUCUCUCUGUCUCUCCUGCCACCAUGUGAAGAAGGUGCUUGUUUCCCCUUUGCCUUCCGCCAUGAGUGUAAGUUUCCUGAGGUCUCCCAGUCAUACUGCUGGUUAAGCCUGCAGAACGGCUGGUCUUGAACUCCCAGCCUCAAGCCAUCCUCCCGCCUUGGCCUUUCAAAGUGCUGGAUUACAAGCGUGAGCCACCGUGCACAGCCAAGACACAAUUUUAAAUCGAGCGGUCAGGAAGCCUCCUGGAGAAAAUGACGUUUGAACAAAGACAUGAAGAAAGUGGAGAAUAUUUGGAGAAAAGCAUUUCAGGCAGAGGAAAGUGCCAGGGCAGAGGCCCCGAGGUGUCAGACCAGCAUCAGGAUCUGAAGGUGCUCCCUCCCCCCUCCUACUCUCUCCUCUUUAUCCUUUUCAUUUUCUUUUCUUUCCUUUCUUUCACUUUUUUUUUUUUUUGAGAUGGUCUUACUCUGUCACCCAGGCUAGAGUUCAGUGGUGCGAUCAUAGCUCACUGCAGCCUUGACCUCCUGAGCUCAAGUGAUCCUACCAUCUCAGCCUCUUAAGUAGCUGGGACUAUAGGCGUGUGCUACCAUGCCUGGCUAAUUUUAAAAUUAUUAUUAUUAUUAUUAUUUUGUAGAGAUGGGGUUUUGCCAUGUUGCCCAGGCUGGUCUUGAACUCCUGGGCUCAAGUAAUCUACCCGUCUUGGCCUCUUAAAGUGCUGGGAUUACAGGUGUGAGUCACAGUGCCCGGCCCUUUCAUUUUUUUAAUUUUUUGUAGAGAUGGGGUCUCACUAUGUUGCCCGGGCUGGUCUUGAACUCCUGGGUUCAAGCAUCCUCCCACCUUGGUCCCCCAAAGCACUGGAAUUACAGGUGUGAGCCACCGUGCCUGGCUUCCCCUCCCCUUUAUCCUUCCUAGGUAUCUUCCUCAAUAAAUCUCUUGCAAGUUCA
rnacentral:lncRNA from 1 species